GCCUCAGGCCACCCCCGCCGGCUUUCCCUCCCGGAACCGGCAUUCCCUCCGGGAAUCGCCAUUCCCUGGGCCCCCUACCCGUGCAAAACGGGCUGCAGCCUGCGGGGUCCCGUGGCUGCCUGUGGGGAAAAGAAGGUUUUUUUCCUCCAUGUUAAACGGCCCGGCCGUGGCGCCUGUGGGCGGGGCUGAGGGAGCGCGGGGCGGGGGCGGAGCGAGUGAGGAGCGCUGCCCUGGGAAUGCUGUGGGAAAUUACCCUUCGCCGUUUGCCAAGGGGUGUUCGACCUGACGAGCCUAAAAAUGGUACUUUCCAGGGACACCAGGGAAGAUGUGGCCAUCACCUGCAGGAAGCUGUGGCAGAGCUUAAGAGCUGUCUUACUAUGAAAAUCAGACAGAAGAAAGGAAUCCAGGUGUUUCUUGGUUUACCCAGGAGGAUGUGGACAGGUCUCUUCUCUCCAGAACAGCAAAACAGCUUAUGAAAUGAAAGUUUCAACAGUCUUUGUAGCACUAAAGUUUGCAGGCUUUCCAAAUAAAGAGUUUUAUUGAAGGGAGAACAUUUUCUCUCUCAUAAAGGGAGAACAUUUUAUGGAAAAGAGGAAAGGGCUUCCAGGCAAAAAAUGAGAAUCUUCCCUGAAUGCUUCAUGUGAGGAAGAGGACGUUUUGCAGCUCCUACCAAAUGGUGAUGGAGGUGUAGGGAACUUCUGAGCAAAUCAAAGUUAAAGGAAGAAAAAGAAUGUGGAAUAUUCUCUUAGGUUCAGUAGAAGAAAAGCUGUGUUUUGUACAAUAAAAGAAACAAACAAAACUAGACUGCAAAAAGUUCUAUGCCAUGUGUAUAGCUCUUGAAGGGAAGAGUUGUCUAUAAGAGAAGACAGUGGCUGGUAAAUAAAAGAAUACUUCAAUUUAUUGUCCCAUUAAGCAAGAUACAACUUAGCAACAUGCAGGUGGGUCAUGUCCCAUUAUUGGAAAUGGUAAGUUUUGACUUAGCUUUUCUUUUCCUCACUGUCGCUGUGCUUUUCUCUGGAAGGAAAAUCCUGCUACAAGGAAAAAUCCUUGUAGCAGGAUUUUUCUCUGUUAGCAGCUUAUUUUUUAGCACACCAUUCUGACACCUUGACAGUUCAUGUGCUAAAUCAGACUUUACAGUUACUGGCAGGCAGUUAUUAGAUGUAUUGCACUUAAUUAACUUUACACCUAAUUACAAGCAGUGCUGGCCGAUUACAAAGGGCAUAAAUAUAUUAGUGCCCUGGCUGUCACAUCAUGAAAAUGGCUGUUUGAACAAGUCAAGCAAAAGCAAUUACCACAUUGUGUGCAGAGCAAAGUGUGAAGCAGAGUGCAGGAAGGGGGAUGAACUGGAGUUCGGUUUGUAGGAAUGUCAUUUUGCACAGCGCAUUUCAGGCGACCCAGAUGAGCAAAAAGUAUGAGGAAAGAUUUCCUUUCAUUUGUGUAAAACAAAGAACAAAAGUUGCAUAGUGAGAACUGACAUAAGUUUUGUUGGAAACCCAUCCUGUGUAUCUGUAAAUAAAGUAUGAAGAUUCCAGUGUUAAGGAAGAAAAGCUGUCUAAUGUGAGAUAGAUGCUAAACAUUAUAAGCAAAACUUGUGAUUUAGAAUGACACAGUGCAACUGUUACUUAUUCAGUAGUUGCCAAAAUGAGAAGGAAAGCAGAAUUUGGUCUCAUCUGUAGAGGGAUAUGUUCUAAAGAGCAAAUGUUAGCACUCAGCUGGCAUUGCAUGGAAAUCUGUCUUGUGUUAGCACAGGAAAAAAACCAUUUCUGCUGGAAAAGUAAGCAAGGCAUUCUGAGCAAUAUUUAAAAUUUUGUCAAUGGCUUUGUAAACAAGAGUCUGUAUGAGAGAUGUUUCCUCCUGUAUCAAGUUUCCGUUCCAAGCACCACAUGCUCUCUUUUGCAGAGGAAAAUGGACCAUGUUAUACAGGUGGCUUAACUUAUUGUUAUGUGUACAGCUGUGGAGGAAUGUUGCCUUCAUUCCACAAGAAUCCUGGCCGAGGAGAUGGGCUGAGAACUGUUAACUAUGAUGAGAUGUUUCUCGGUCAUGACUUCUGAAGACUUACAGCCUUCCUGGGCCCUCAAGAUCCAAGGAUGCCCUCUUACCUUGUCUUUUAUCCUUUCAUGGAAGCAUCUAAAGGAAAACUGGAAACUGCAGUGAUACAUGAACAAUUCACAAGCCAAUGCAGUACAAAGCUGUUAAAAAUGUGAAUUCCUGCUGACAUUGUAGAAAAAUCCAUUUCACAUCUGUAAGGUGGAGUACAAUUUCCAAGGCACUGGCAGAUGUUUGCUUUUGAUGCACGAAGCCUAAGUACAUGCAAGGAGCAGUCAGUUUUCCUGAUGUGAGAGCGUGGACCUGCCUUUGCAAACCCUGGAUCUCAGUCAAAGCUUUCCCAGCAGGAAGAUUGGGCUCUUUACGUUGGAAGACCUCUGGCUGUGGUGUUUGCAUUUCAGAGCCUUUCCACCUGUUUUUGAUAAGCUGUGUGAAACUGAUCAAAAGAAGACCAGAAGUGACGAGUCACUGCUGCCAGGAACAUUCCGCCUUUUUCAGAAGAACUUCUCAAGGAGCCCAGGUCCCCGAGGGUGAAGUUUUGACCUGGUGAAGUCAAGGGAACUUUCACUCUCUUUCAUUAAGACAAGAGCCAUCCCUCAUCACAUCUUGCACUUGCAACUGUGAAAUGUGGAAAGGAAAGCAGAAACUGUUUCCUUGGGUAUUGCCAUAAGGCUAAAGAUAAAUUGAGGGUGGCACAGAGCAGUGGAAGAGGAACAGCUUUUAGAAGCCCUCUCCAAAAGCAGAGUUUGUGAAAUCCUUUCCAAACAUCUGCAGGAACAGUGCUACAUCAGCCUUCCAGCAGCCUGGUUGAAAAGACUGUCCUUUAAUCUAAACCAUACUCCCUGGGAUUCCUUAAUGUAGUUAAUUCUCCUUUUUAUUUUUUUUUUAAAUAUUUUGCCAGUGAGAAACUGCCUAGUGGUCUUCACCUCUGAGUCUUUUCCACUAAUUCUUAGUCCUGGCACAUUGCUGUACGUUUUCAUUGCAUGGGGAUCUCCUCAAACAAAGGAAAAUUAUGAAACUGUUAGAUCAGAUUUCAUAGAUUGCUCUUGGCAUUGCACUCACUAGACCUGGUACACAGUGAGUUUUGAAAGCCUCUGAUCUUUUAUAACCAUUUCCAGUCUUAAACAUACGUUUAAAAGUUCCUCAUCUGCAGUCACUGGUAAUAUGACUAUGAAAGCUGAGGUAAUUUGGGUAUUUUCUUUCUGUAAAGACAUAGAGAGUGAUCCAUUGCAGCCAUAAAUAAUUUCCAAUGUUUCAUUAUUCUUUCUGUUAUACUUCUGAUUGUUUUAUUAAGACUCUGAAUUUAUUUCUUUCAAUUUUUAGAGGUUUUUUUUUUUCCUUUUUCCUGCUAGGGAUUUAUGUUGCUUUAGGACUUAAAAUCAAGGUGCUUAGAUGUGCUUGUGGGAAUGAACACUGACAGCACGUUCAGAGUGGUGAGCUCUGCUAGGUCUGAUGGUGCCAUAAAACAGACACAUGAAGGACACAAAGUCCUUUCUCUGCUGCCAGCCUGCUCUGUCAGCCUGGAAGCCUAAUGACCGUGCAUUAGCAUCUCAGAUAUUGACCAGCCUGUGGGCUGGGAGGAGUGGGAUUUUUCUGCACUGUUGUGCUCCUUCUCAGUUCAGAGAAAUCAACCAAACUGAAGAUGUGCUGACCUUUUGAGACCGAACUAGAAGAGCCCUUGACACAAAAUCCUGUAAAUGUAUUUAUACAGGGAGUCCCUUGGCCAAUUCAAAGGGCCAAACAGAGGAUUUCUAGAUCUGAAAGCAUGAGCCAUGUCAGCUACAAUCUAAAUUAAGUGAAAAUGCUGACUGUGCCAGAGAACAAGAACAGACAGCAAUUCUGUGUUACUUGUGGCUCUGUAACUCAGCAGUUGCUUCAGAGACCAGUCACACACAGCUUCCUUGGGGAAGAGGAAUAAGUUUGCUGGAACAACUGGUGGAGAUGACAGGUUAUUCAGAUGUCUUUUCUGAAUGCCAACAAAACAAAAGCAUACUAUCUUUAAUGCUUGUGUUGUAAACAAUUUACAUCCAUUUCCAAAUGCCCUCCACCUUUCCUUCACCCAUAUGAACACUUUAAACAAAGAGCUACUUUGUAAAUCUCUCAGAAACUUCUGAUUGCACUUUUCUUAUCUGUUCAAUUCAUAGCCAAGUCACAGUAGAAUAUCUGUGUACCUUUGUUAUAAAUACACCUGAUUGAUUUAUGCUGCCACUGUUUCCAAACCCAUUCCUUAGUAGCCUUUCCAUCCUGACUAGGAGAUGAGUAACUUUUUUAGAAGGAUUAUUUUUAUCCUUUCUGUUUUUCACUUCCUUUCCAUUUUUCUUAGCCACCUACUUGACUGCACAGCCUACUGCUCAGUUCCCUCUGCUUUCCAGAGCAGAGAUGCAAGUCCUUUCUUGUCUGCAUAACAAGAGUCGGUCCCCUACCCCAGUGUUUCUUUCAACUGAUUCUGUUAUCAGCUCAUAACCUGGUAUUUUUCAAUUUCAGAUAGAAUAUUCAGGUGACAUACUGUAUUUCAGUGCAGUUGCUUUCAUUAGUGUUUAGAACUUCGUACACAAUCCUGAAAUGGUGAGUAGAGUUUCCUUCACUUACUGUCUUCAUUGAACUUUCCUACCUCUGUUCACAGUUUGGCUUAUUUUAAAUCAGAUGGCUCUUUCUUUUCUCCACACUGAAAUACCAUUGAUGUAUUGGUGUUAAGUCUUGUAAGUUCAAGAGCUUCUCCAGCCCAAUAUGGUAUACCAAGGGUAUGGCUGUGUUCAGUUGGGACAUUAUAUAUUGGGAAUAAAUCAGGGAAUAAAUCCUCAUGGGUUCUCUCGAGAAGAGACUCUGAUAGUCUCCUCCUUAUUUUAGAAAAAUUCCACAUUUAGCUCAGCUGGUUUUCCUCCACUGGAAAGAUAUGUGUAAUGUCCCCGAGGAAAGGACAUUAAAACAUUUUUCAAUAAUAAGGUUUGUGGAUAAUACUGCAUAUGCUGGUUUUAACAACAAGCAUAAAGAGGCCAUUGCCUAGAGAAACUCUGCAACUCAUUAGCUAGUUUUAUCUUUCCUUCAAAGAAGGAAAAGCAAAAAUCUGACUGAUAUACCCAUCCAAUGCUCUCUGAAAAAAAUCAGCUCUGCAGCCAGACCAUUCCUUCCCUCACAACAAAGCCAAACAAAGAGAAGUCAUGCAUUAAUUUUUUUUUCAAAGAAGAAAGCCUGCAAUUUAAGUAAGAAAUGUUUUAGAUCUGGAAAAUUGAAUACUUUUUGCUUUUGGAAGGAACAAACUAGAGCACCAAAGAAAGGACAGUGCACAGAAAUAUGGCAAGUUUAUCAAUGAGUGUAGUGUGGAUGAAAGUAAAGUAGUCAUUAAUUAAUUUAAAAGCAAGGGUUUCAGGGGAGGAUUCAGGUGUUUAACAGAACCCCAAGCUUUGCUCUAAGUGGUGUAGGCAAAAUAUCUGUGGGGUCUGCUCAGAGUGCUUCACCUGGUGACCAAGCACAUCAGGGAAGCUGCUGCACAGCACCAAGGUCAGGAUGGAGAUUAUUGCACCCCUUCACCUUAUCCCCAGGCCAGGCCCUCCUCCAUCCAUUACCUGUCAUUUGGAUUCAUCCUGCUCUCAGAAGCCCUUGAGAUGAUCUGAAAAGGGCCUGUUGUGCUUCAAAUCCUUCAGCAGGGCUGGAGAUUUGAUCUGCUGACAUUCAGCAGGAGCACUGAGGCAUCACUGUGGGAUGGCAUGGGCAGCCCUGGGAUCUGAGACUACUCCACCCCUUACUGUCAGGACUUCUGUCAUGGUAUUGGCUGGUAAAGGCAGAACUUCAACUCCCAGAGAAACAAGAUUCUCACCAAAUAAUCAGUGAACUGAAUUCUGGUUUUUGAACAUCUUUUGGAAGUGCUUCACCACAGUUUAGGAAGAGGAGCAGGGAAAGUUACCCGGAAGAAAAGCUGAGCAACAAGGCCCAGGGGGACACGUGGCCAGCACACAUUGCACUUGAGCUAUUUUCAGCUGGAGCACGGGCCUCAGGUGUGUGGCAUAGAUUGCAGUGGCCUGGCCGUGUCUUGCUUGACUUUGGGAUUCUCAUAUAGAAUUCUCUUAAGUGGACAGUGAAAGGAAAAAAAGCUUUUGUUUAAGUAAAAUACUGCAUUGCUUUGCUUUCAUGUUUUAAGACAUUUUAUCACUAGAGGUGGUCUUUAAUAUGCUUCUUGAGCCGUAACUCUUGGGAUCACCUCGUUCCUUGUACCUCUUCCUCUCAGCAGGACUGUUAGAGCAGAGCACAGCUCAGCACUAAAUGCUCCAUUAAAGGAGCUUAUAUAGCAUCCUAUUGGCUUAGAGAGGACCUUUGGCAGACACAAAAAUACUUUGGAAAACUGUGGGAAUGCUGAUGACCUGACAGUGAUUUAUAUUAUUGCAUUAGAAAAAUAAAUAGUAUGGUAGGACCUGUCAGGAUGGAUAAAGCAGGGAUUUGCCAGUAACUGUGCUGUGCAGCUUUCCAAACCACUAACCUGCUGGUUAGCCCAGGCCUCUAUUUCAUCCAAACCCUCAUAAAAAUAUAUUGCAGAUGGGUGCUAAGAACCUUCAGGAAAAUCCUUUGCUCUUUCAACAGCAUCUCUGCCUUGUGAUGGUCUCGCAGUAACUUUCUCCCCCCCACCCCAGCAGAAGAAGUUUUCUCCCCUCUAACAUGGUUCAAUCCUCUCUUACAAAUGGCAGAGAAAAGAAUUUAUCAGCCUGUCUGGGGUAGCCAAGGGAUGAAGUACCAGAAGGCUGUGCAUGAGCAAGAGAGACUUAAAUCACACUUGGAAUUGCAGGCACAGCUUCAGGUGCUGUGUGAAGAGCCUAAACUAUUAUUUUGCUCUGAGGGCUGAUGGUAACUAAAUGCCCCAUAGAUCAGAACAAGACAGUUUUGUGUGAUUUGGCUUCUCCUCUGCUGUGUGUUUAUCAAUAGAUCAGAAAGCACACCUGGGCAGCAGCGUGAUUUGGAGCUGAAGGCUGGAGCAGUGAGGCAGUACAGUGGCACACUGGGGACCAGGCCUGGCCACGUGCCACGUCCUUUUGUACCCCUCACGGAGCAGAAAGGCUCACUCCCAGCUCCAGCUGGACUCACUGUGCCCAUAAAUCUCCUGUAGAGGCAAGCCCAGCACAGCUCUGGCACUGGGAGCCGUGCUCUUGUUCCCCGUUCAUGUGUUCCCAGGCAGCCAGGGAGCUGCGGUCAGCACCACCAGGGCCAGCCUCCCACCCCACUCCUGAGGCAGGAGCUGAGCAGAGGGAGCCGUGCCAGUGUCCCAAGGGCUGCAGGGAAGGGACAAAGAGCUGGUGAGAGCCUGUGCUGGGCUGUGCUCGAGCACCGUGGCCCGGCUUGACACAAAGCCAGCCCCGGCUGGGAACAGGCUCUGAGGGAAGUCAGCCAUUCCCUGUGCCAUGAUGUGCAGGUGGCAGCUUAGAGAGACAUGGUCCCACAGCCCCGGAUCCCUGUGAGCCUGUGUUAACACCUAAAGGUGACCAGUCCAAACCUCACUGACCUUAAAAGGCCUCUGCAGACUUGGGGUGUGCACCUGAGCAGUUCAUGUGCAGAACCAUGCCCAUGCCUCCCAGAUGUUUAUCAUCAUCUGUCAUCACAGAGCUAGCAGGUAGAGAUUGACAGGGUAAUUUAGUAUGGGAUAACAUGGAAAAUAAACACGGAAAAAACAUGACAAGCAUGCACAAGUGUUUUGAAAACUGAUUGGCAUCCCAUAAUGAAUAGCAUGAGAAUAAAUUUUUUUACUAAAAAAUAGUGAAAAGUUAAAAUCUUCUAGUUUAAAAGCAAGCAAUAAGACAAGUGCAAGAGUUAACCAAGUAUCUUAUUCAGUGUCCUGAAUCAAGAUUCAAUGUGCAGAGACACAUUAGUAUGACUUUAAUAUUACAACAAUUUUCAUUCAUUAAGAGAUUGUAGAUACAGAGAGAUAAUCCCUUAUCUUGUAAGAGAAUGUUUUUUGCUGUGUUAUUAAGGUAUAAAUGAAAUAAGGUUUACAUGGCCUGUGAAGGGUGUUUUGUGCCUUGCUGGUGACAGUAGGUUAAAGCCCAGGAUAACCACUUCAGACUGGCUGCAUGCUUCAGUAUUUUCCCCCUUCACAGUUGUUAAAACUUUAUAGAGCCUCAAAACAUAUCCAGAUGGACAGUAACUGUGACUGCCACUUACGAAACCAGUAUAAUCUAGCACAAUACACAAAGUAGGCUAAGUGGGAAGGAAAACAAGUUCUGAAUAGAGCACCUCCUUGAACAUUGGAUCAGCCAUCAGACACACCAAUUCUGUUUAGACAGGCCUGUUAUACACACCCAAAUGUUCUGCAAAACAAAGCACACCCCCAUCCUUUCACCACUGCAGCUCCAAAACACUUCUGCCCAAGGGUGGUCUUCACCCUGCUUGAGGCAGUGUUUGUGCCUACAUCUUUAUUCACAAACUGAAGCAUUGGUUUCCAGAGUUUUUUGGCAAAGCUGAGACACGUAAACCACGUUCUUCCUUUCAAGGAAUAUCAUAUCUCAGCAGUUUUGUUUGACUUUCACUUUUUCAAGUAUAGAAAAAUAUGAACAAAUGGCACACACUGGUGGUGCACUUCUCGCUGUGCCCUGCACAAUGCUGCUUGUGUGACACCAGGGUAAGUAACAUCACUGUAGCAGAGAACCUGGUCAAGAGAAAACUAUUGUUAUUUGAAGUUGUUCACUCAUGGGAUAAUAUCUGCUAAACACUAUGUAAAGCAAUAUAUAGUGACUUCCUGGAUUUUUGUGCUGUACAUAUUUUUCUUCGUAGAGUAUGCAUGUAUCCCAAAAGGGUGAUUAGGUAAUGAUGUAAGAAAAAAGUCCCAAAUCCUGACAGAUUUAUAGCAACUAAAGCCAUGUCUUCAUUCUUCACUCCCCCUGGCAUGGGUACCCAGUUUAAUUCCAGUGCUUAUUCUAACUUAGGCACGUGUUGGCAGAGACAGAUCUCAGUGCAGUGGGCAUUCUCAAUCACUUAUUUGUCACAUUUCACAAAUUUCCAAACAAUAAAAAAAUUGCUUGGGAAAUUGUGAUUUGGAUUUGUGCUAUUUCAUCUCCUCUCCUGCCUUCCUCCCUUUUGUUGCAGUUGAUGGUAGUUGAAUUCCGUGCUCGGCUGGUGCAGCUGCUCAGUUACACGCCUGCUGCUUAUGGUGAGAGUGUGCUUUGAAAAUGCAUCAUGCCUCCCACCACGGUGAUGUGUUUUAGUUUACUGUUUUGCAGAAAACAUUGUUUGCCAUAUGUCUCAACAGAGCCUGCUUCUCUUUUUCAAGAAAUUGGCCAAGUACUUUAAUUUGUCUUUUGGUCUUUUUGCAUCAUGACUAGAGAUUGGCAUGUGAAUUAUUUAAUUAAGCUGUGAUUAUUGCUGGGUACUGCUAAGUUACACAAAUACUGUGUCAUUUAGCUAGUUAUGACUAAGAAAAUUAACAGUACAGAAAAACUAAUUAAAAGCUAAAUAAUCCUGGAAUCUUUUGACCAGCUGUAAUAUAUCCAUACAACACCAUUCUAUUGAAUAAGGAAGCUAUUGUUGAGGCUUUUGUCACAGAAAAAAAAGUAAAAAAAAAAAGAAAAAAAAAAAGUUGUGAUAUUUUUCUUUGGUUUUGUUCAUGUUACAAAGAAAGCUGCAGCCUCUGGCAUUUCAGCUGGGCUCUGUCCUGUGCCUGGGGUGACGGAGCCACUCGCAGUUGCUCACAUGGAAAUGUGCAGAACAAGAACCACACCAUAAACAAAAGCACGCCGGGGCUUCAGUGGGCAAAGCACAAGAGCAGAAUAUUAACCACAGAUCCUGCCUAGGCAGAAAUUCCUUUUGCUUGGUCAUGGCACGUAACGAGGUUUCAUGCCUCUCUUUUUGGCUUGUGUGGUGCCACAGACUCCCCAGCAACCUUGGUUCAUUCUGUUCCUCAAUGAGCUGAUCUCUGGAGGAGCAGCUCUUUACUGAUUCACUGCUGGCUUACACCUUCAGCACACGAUUUUAUCUCACAAUGGCCCAGUAAACUCACUGCACCUCAAACCACAAGCACUGGCAAGAGUGCUCCUGCAGCCACUGUGGGAUUUCCUCAUUGUGCUGCAGAAAUUAUUCAAAAAUUGAAUAAUCCCUUCAAAUGACUUCAGCAGUAAUGAGGGACUUGGGUACCUUUGAAAAAAUACAGUGUCAUUAAACAAUACUGUUUUAAACAUCAGUACAUGCAAAAAGUGAUAGAAGUGACUUAAAUGUCAUAAACAACAUGUCUCUUGUUAUGCCUUGGACUGCAUGUACUUCACACCUCUUCAUUUUUCAGGCUUACAUCUUUGAAUAGGAGGAGACCACCAUGUAUAGGCUAAAUGGUAAAAUGUAUUUCCUUCCCCAUUCCUUUUCUCCAAAUUCUGGGAGUUGUGGAAAUGUUCAAACACUCCCUUAGUGAAUUAUGGCUGUAUGAGAAAGAGACUUUGUGACUUGGCUCCUCCCUCUUGUGUCCUAAUUUUUCAAGUCUUAAGUUUGACUGGUUUUUUAUCCAUUUAAGGUCAGCUACCUCCUAAAUUUACCAUGUUGCCAAAGUAACCCAAAGAUGGCUUUCUUAGAUAGACAUCAGCAAUUAAGUGAUCAAUUUUAAAAUACUUGUUUUCCCUUGUUAUUCUUUUCAGUAAAUUUUCUUCUUGAAUCAAAAAGUAGCAAGAGAUGAAGAACAGUUGGAAGUAUUGAGCUAACCAAGCAUGCUCAAGGUGAUGAGGAGACCCUGCUAUUUGUAACACCAUUAAAAGGUCUUUCAUACGGAUGUCAUCCAGAAACAAGGCAAUGCAAGCUGAUCUCCACAGAGAGAGAGGCACUGCACCCUGACCUUGGUGCACAGGGAUUUUUUUUCACUUGUCACACAAACAUUUUACUGGCACAAAAAGUAACUGGAGUGGAAAGGGAGCAGUUCCCAACUGACAGAGCAGCCAUACUGCCUUGGAUCAGCCCACAAUUUGGGAUAAAAGAAAUAGUGAAAGUGAAAGGAGACUUCCUUUUCUUAAAGCAGAAAUGCCCAGUAAUACCCAUGUUCUAUCUCAUGUAAGUCCGAAGAAUUUUUAAGGCAUCACGUGCUGAGGAAGGGACAGGGGAGCAUCAGCCAGAGUCACUGGUGUCCUCUGAGGGCUUGCUGCUGGACCAGUCUGUAAGAUUCCCAAUAGUAUAACUGCAGGCAGGAUUUAAAGCUGUGCAGAUCACAGCUACCUGAGCAAUACAACAGAUUUUACAGGACAAGAACAGGUUCUGUGUAUGGACAUUCCCACACAGGCAUAGUCCCUGCACUGCCGGGCCACGCUGCCUCCUCAGACACUGAUUUCCUGAGGCUUUGCCUGAUGCUGUUUUAAUUCUUCACACUGAGGGGCUCCAUCACUCACUCACCCUGGGAGAUCAUUCCACAGAUAAAGUCAAGCUAUUAGCCACUAGAAAUCAGUCUUAGCUGGGGACAAGUAACCUUGAGCAAGUACAGAUAGGUAAUUAUGGACUGUACUUAGGGGUCCUCUAAAACUUUCUGCCUGAUUUCCCAUCCCUGCAGGGAUGAUAAUUGGUGUUCCACAUGGAAGUAUCCCAGCCCCUGUGGCAGCAAGCAGGGUAGCACUGAGAGGCUCCAAGAGCAGCUCUGUGCAGCCCCCGAGGCCGGGAGAGGAGAGGGAAGCAUGUCCCAGCUCUGCAGAACACCAGAGACCAAACAGAGCUGUGAAAUUCACUGCCAAAGGGACCACGGUCAGAUGAGCUUCUCUGCAGGCCGUGGUGCCCCACUGCAGAAACAGGGCAGUGUGACCCUUGGAAGUGAAAUUCAUAAGGGGAGGAAGGAACGGCUUAUGUUCUGAUUACACACUGGCUUAAAUCAGGAGCUGCUCUAACAAUCUGUGGAAUGGGAUGGGUCUGAGUGCCAGUUGAAGCAAAAGGCAGCUCAGGCUGAGGCCAUGUGUGUCCCAGGUUUGCUUUUACUUUCUACAUUAUUUUUCCUUAAUAUAAAUAUCAACCACAACAGGUACUAACAGAAGACUCCGGGAGCCUUUCCCUGCUGCUUUGGGCUUCAAUCCCCAAAGCUUGCCUUUCAUAAUUCAGUUUCACCUUCAGGCACUUUAAAGUUAAUAGACUCAUUUGAGCAAAUGGCUUAUUGGAAAUCCAUGUUGGAAAAUAGUGAGCGUAAGUGUGCUGGUGCCAAGCUAUAAACACAUUUAUACAGUGCAGUAAAUCAGUGCUGCUGCCUCUCUUUGGAAGGGCCAGGCCAAUUAAGCUGAAUGUACAGGAUAUGAGGAUGGAACCUGUUCAGCUGCAGGCAGGUAGCAAAGACUGCAGCCACACCACCCUGCUGGGCCUCAUUUUGACAUUGCCCUGCCUGGCCAAAUUUGAUACCAUUUGCUUUUGGCUUGUUAUUCACUGACUCCUGAAAAAGAACAGGGAUUUGGAAAGGCACUGGCAGCAUUGUGUGGGUGCAGCAUGAGGACAGGCAAAUGGAAGAGGCAGGAAAGGUGAUGCCUGUGGACAUCUACUGGUACAAGCUUCACCACUACUGAAAUGCAGUAGUGGUGCUGGACUCACUCUCAGAAUUCCUGCAUAGGUAGAUGUUGCAUGAUUUGACCAAUGACUUCUUACAAACAAGAAAAUGUUCUUUGUUACCAGAGCACUUCAUUCAACUACCUUAAUUACCCCCCAGCCUCUUAAGUGUUAUCUAAAAUACAAAACGAGGUACAAUAAUAGGAUGGGAUGUUACAGAGAACUGGCUGGCUUUUAGUGCAUUAAGUCCCUGGAUAUUAUUUAUAUUUUCUGUUUGUGUAAAACCUGUAAUUGACUAUUUAAUAUAAAGUUACCAUUGCCUGAAUAGGUGCUCAGAUCAUGGAAGCUGUAGCUGGAAGCUGACAGCUGGCAGAGCUGUCUUGUAAAAACUCUAAAAUGCAUUAGAAUGCACACAAAAAAAAUAUUUUUUUAAAUGAGAGAGAAGAAGAAGAAAAAGAGUCCUUUGUUCCAUUUAAAAGGGGAGAAUUCAGACUUUGAGAGAUAAUUAAAAAGGGGGAUUUCAAACACUCUUUUAAAGGUUUUGUUUUCCUUUUAAGAUUCAAAAAAGUCAAGCACUCUUGCUGCUUCCCCAGUCCCACAUGCAAGAUGGUCUCAUGCUACUCUGCCAAUACCUAAAGCAGGAGGAAGAGAUUUCCAAAUAAAGUGCCAAAAGCAACUACCAGGUCACCAGCAGUGCCUGCCCAGGUCCUAACCAUGGCACUAAUUAUCCAUCUGCCUUGUCAGCUGCCUGAACACAUUCUCCAUCCUAUGGCUUGGCACAGGAACAGGCUGCCUUUCCUCUUCUCACACAUCUUACCAUGGGUGAGGGUGUCAAGACACUUUUCCAAAGAGAGAUGGCUUCCCUUGUGGAUGACUGGCCUGGUCUCUCUAAAUUUCAAGCCUUGUAGAUUUGUCCUAUUCCCAGGUGGAGAACAAAGAGAUGUCUCCCUCCUGGAAGCCUCAAGGGUUGGCAAGAAAGGAGAUGAUGUGGGAAACCUUGUGCCCCUCUUCUCCCAGGAUAGUUCACUGAAGGAAUGAGAACAAAUCAACUACAAACUUGCAGGGAAAAAAGCACGCAAAUUUUAGAUGUUAAUCUCCAAUUACCAGUGACUGAAAGGGCAAAGGACCCUGCUCCAGUGCCACACUCAAUAUUCCUCACAGUCUUACAGCAGGACAAAAGCCAUGGUUACAGUGUCUGUAAUUAGGAUACCAGCAGAUGGAAUAGUUAAUCAUGCCCCAGCUAAGCAUUGUGCGUGUUGCUGGGGAAGUCAGCUAAGGAAUCUGGGCAAUUCCUGUCUUGGGAGCAGAUCCUGUCCAUGAACAGCUUCACCAGAGCAGCUGGUCCAGCCAUCACCACUACACAGCUCGUGGAAGCACAAGAUGCCUUUGUACCUCCUUUUUUCUCCUGUUAUAUUAAAGAUGUCCCACAGUGACAAGCACAGCCUUAGAACUCUGACCUCCCAACAUCAACAGAGGGCACUUGGCAACUGAUGCCAGCAGCAGGGUGAUGCAGAACAGCACAGGGGCACUUUCUGCAACAGUGGCUCUGCAAACAACAUCUGCUGAGCUGGAGGCCAGGGCAGCCCUCCUGCCUGGGUGAAGGCAGCAAUGGAGAACAAGCCAAGACAGCCCAGACAAGGCUUCUGGGGACUCACAAACUGCUGCAGGGAAAGUACCAAACCCCAGGUCCCAGGGCUUGUGAACUGUCUGCACCCACACUUCCAAGAAGCUGUGGGUGCUGAGAAGCAGCUUCACCACUCUCUGCCAUUCCACAAGCUCCUGCUCCAUCCCACCUGGCAGGCCAUGCCAGGAGCAUGCCAGCUGGCACUGGGUUACCAAGGUUCCAUUUCUGUCACCUUGGCAUGGCGGAACAGCAUCCUUCCCACACGCCGUUUGCAUUGAGAUGAUGUGGUGUUGGAGAGGCCACCAAGGAGUCAGGAGGGAUCAUUUCUGAUUGUAACUAUGCUGGGAGGCUGGGCAGCAGAACUCUACAAUGGUGCCCUUGCCAGACCUCUGUGUUAUCCCAACCCAUCCCCACUUUAUCCUGGCUUUUACUGCAGUGCUCUCGCAGAUCACGCCUUCGGGACUUGAUCCACACAGAGGCUGCUCCCACAGCUUGCCCCAUGACUUUCCCAGGAAUGGGAAUGAUUUAAUAUUAAUGGCUAUCCUCUUCAGAAUGGGUCGUGGAGAGUGGGCCAUAAGAGGUCAUUAUUGUUUAAACACUUUUGUUUUGCCUUUCUUCUCAGAAACUUUAAAUCAUGAGCUUCCUUGCACAGAACAUCCAAACGGACAGCUUUAGGAUGUGUGAGAAAGACACAAUUAAUUUAGUGCAAAAGAUAAGACAUUUCCUUGGGGAAGCACUAACACCAGGCCUAUUACCCCUCAGUGUCAUUGCAGAUUAGUGUUCUGCAUAGAAAGGGAUUCUAAAUCUUUUUAAUUGAAAAAUGUUUCUCUUUUCCUUACUGUUAUAAAUUUCUGCCCAGAGGUUAAAGAGUUUUUUAAUUAUUUCUGAAUUACAUCCAAUUUCUGGACAGUUUAUCAAAAAAAGGAGGAUGUAGUUUGUCUCUUGCUUUAUUAAUUUAUGUCAGACCAGAGAAAGGAGAAAUAUAUUCCCCUGGUGACCCAAAUGAAAUAGUUACAUAAAGAGAUGCUUAGAAAUACAAAGCCCAGACAUCCCUAACAUGUUAAGACUGGCAGCUGUCACCAACACAUCCACAUGUAGGAAUACAUGCCAUAAUUAUGGCAAGUGGAAGGAUAAUUAUCCAAACACAAUGAUGGAAACAACAGUCAGGAGAAGAAUUUUACUCAGCUUCUCUCUCCCUUUUUCUGGUUUAAAGUUUGAAAAACUUCAAAACCAAUGAUUUUAAUCCAUGUAGGUUGUUUGACUCAUAAGUCAUAAAAUUACCUCAAGAAAAGAAGAUGCAAAUAUCCUUUUGCCUUUAGCAUAUCCUGAGCAGGACCAGUCAAAACUGUGACCUGGACUUGGCUCAGUCCUUGCUCCAUGGCCUUGGAGCAGCCUUCUUUUGAUCCUGAAGGUCAUGGAUGAGAUUUGAAGCAAAGUCCUGGCUUUGAGUGGUGUAGCCACCAACCCCAGGAGCCUCCUGGAAAGCACAACUCCCUUUGGAGUCAGGAGCCUGCUGGAAGACAGGAAAACCAUCACACAGAGUUAGUUAAUUCUCUGUUUAGAUGUUCAUUUAGCUACAAGGCUACGUGGCUAUCUUUUCUAGAACUCUACACAGAACAGCACUGCAAUUUGGGGGGCAGCAUAUUCAAAAAGGUACUCGGCAGGUCAAUGUUUCUAUAGAUGUUAGUCUGCCAUAGUGUUUGGGUAGCUGCACAGCCCACAGAUCAUUUGUGUGUUAGGGUGGUUUAGGUUUUCUUGUCCUUGAAAAUCCUUCCAAACAACCCUAUUCUUUACACAUCUCCUGAUUGUAUAAUGGUUAUGUUUUCUCUGAUCUGUACUGAAGAAAAAAUAUUUUCCUUUUCUAAUUCAAUCCUUAGCCCUUGUUUUCCCAACCUCUAGUUCUCAAGAAAUGUGAUUUCUUAAAAAAAAAAAAAGAAAAGAAAAAAAAUCUAAUUAAGCCAUUUAUCAAACUUUUCCAAGUGGGUAGAGUGACAAAUUAGCCCUAUCUUCCACCAACAAUCUGAUGGAUGGGAAGAUAAAGAUGCAGAGGCUGUUAUUUUAGCUGGAAGCUCUCCACUAUAUCAAUUGUUUGGCCCCAAGCCAAAAGACCCCAAGAGUUGACAAGGACUAAUGACGGGUUCUUGAAGUUUAUGCAGCGCGAGGCCUGACAUCAAAGGAAUGCAGCCUUAUUAGCAAUAUCUCUGUGCCUUCUCCUUGGAAAAAAAAUACUAUUUUGUUUUUUCAAAAGAUUUCACUUUAUCAUUCUGCUCUUUCAGCAAAUGGAAAUAAAAUUAAAACUGUAAAUGAAUUUGCACAAUAAUAUGAGGAGUUCUGCUGUUCACUAUAAAUGUGAGGUGAUUGUUAUGACUCUUAAGUCAUGUCCACUACAAGAGGCUAAGACAGGCAGACUGCAAAUAAGUUUCCCUAGGAGUCUUUCCUUUUACCACUAUUUGCUUUGGAAUACUUACACUCUUCCCAAGUAUGAACUCUUGGUGGUUUUAGGAUAUGAGGUUAGGGCUGAGGUGGAUAUUGGGCCUGACUCUGUGACAGAAUCACCUUCAGUGUUUGUAUAACUUAGACCUUUCUCCCUUCCCCCAGUAUUUUUAUUUUAAUGUGCACCAUUUUGACAUGAAUUGGAAACCCUCUGUAGAAGGUGGAAUGCAAUUAUUACCUGACUAGAAAGCAGGAAGAGAGGAUAUAACAGCAGAAUGACUUCUAAGAAAAAUCAAAUCAACAACAAAAACCUCUUUUGAUAUCUUGGUUUGACAAAACAAGCCAUUUCUGGAGAUACUACAUGUUACUCUGGACUAGAAGUAAAAUCCAUACAUUUUUUACUGGAAAAUUAUUUAAAGACUACUCUUGAUGUCCCAUUCUUUAUAAACUUGUUUUUCUCUUGUGGAAAUAGGACAGUCUUCGACUUGCUGGCACAAUGAGGAACUUUGGUAUUGCUUUAUCAAAUCCAACUGCAGUAGUUCUGCAUAUCCAUAUACCUCAUUAACUUGAUUUAUCUUUUCCACACAACACUUUUACAGGAUCGAAUUAAAAACAAUACUGCAAUGAAAUUAUGACAGCACUGGAAGUCAGUGCAAAGCAACAAUCAGCACAUUCUCCAGUAUUUUACUAUCACUGUCCAGUCUGGAUUUGAAUAUGUGUGGAAGGAGCACAGUGCAAAACUAGGGAUGCCAUCCAUCUUCAACCCUCCUAUGUCUCAACUAACUGCCCUGGAUUAUCCCUCUCCAAUUGCUCCCAAUCCAUCACCAACUUGCUCUGAGUGGCUGGGCACUCCUGCAGCUUUUCUUUCUUGUUGAUUUUCCAAAGGGAUGUGCCAUUGCAUCUGCCAUGCUGCUUUUGACCCUGCGACAUCAAGGCAAUUUACAUCCCACUAAGACACCCACAAGCUCUGAUGGUUUUUGGGGAAUUACAAAAAAAGAUUGUUUGUGUUGGACCUCAUAGAUUCCAAUCACGGAAAGAACAAAAGAGGAUUUUUAAAUACUACAACAUUACCUGGCAAUGUCAAAACCAGGAAUUGAAAUUCUGGUUGAAAAGACCAUAAUAAUUCAAUUUUUUUUUUCUUCUUCCUGAUGCAUUUUGUAUAUCUAAGCUCCUAAUGUACUUUCUUAGCUGCUUAAUGAUAACAGGGCUACUUAAGAACUGUAUUUUCUAUAUGACAUUCCCUUGCAACACCCAGAAUGAAAACCUAACUAAAGAAAAUGCAGUGGUUGAAUUUUUCUACUUAGAAAUGGGGGGGGGGGGGGGUUUCAAUAAAAAUGAAGUGUAAGUAUUAUGGCACUAUGCAAUUAAGUGUUCAAAUGCCAUUGCUUCUAACUUAGGAAGAGGAUUCCUUGAACAAAGAAGCUUAAAUGUAAAUUGGUUGGAAAUGAAGAAAAAAAAAAAAGAUCAGUGCUGAAGUGGCCAAUGAACCAAACUGUUUGCUUACUUAUAAUUAGCAGCAUGGUCAUUGUCUGGCUGCCCUGGCACUCUGUAAAUAUGCCUGGGCAGACUGUGAUUAAAGAUUAUUUAGAAGCUUUAUUAUUUAAGAUUUGUUCAUUGCCUCAAGAGACAGGUAAAACAACAACUCUCUCAGUCACUCAGCUCGGUUGGGGGAUAGUGGCUAUAAUUCAAUCCUAUUUAUCCUUUCUUCAGUAAAAUAAAGGAUUUUCCUUUUCUUUAAACAUGGCUCCAAUUACUGAAUAGAGCAAACUCAUUCAGAAUUUUAAGAUUCAGAUUUUUCAAAGGUUCCUGAAUCUCUCACAUAUUUUAGCAAAGUUAAGAAAUUUUGUUCUGUAAUUUACAAUUUAUUAUACAAUUCAAUGAAAGACCUUAAAAAGGCUGAGCUACAAAAUAAAUAAUAAUAAUAACAAUAAACUUACUCCACCCUG